rnacentral:rRNA from 1 species
GAUGAACGCUGGCGGCGUGCCUAACACAUGCAAGUCGAGCGAGGGUUUGCUCAGUAUUGAGUGUUCUAAGUCUAGAAUGUUCAAUUCUGAGCAAAACCAAGCGGCGGACGGGUGAGUAACGCGUGGGUAACCUGCCCUAUACACAUGGAUAACAUACUGAAAAGUUUACUAAUACAUGAUAAUAUAUAUUUGCGGCAUCGCAGAUAUAUCAAAGUGUUAGCGGUAUAGGAUGGACCCGCGUCUGAUUAGCUAGUUGGUGAGAUAACUGCCCACCAAGGCGACGAUCAGUAGCCGACCUGAGAGGGUGAUCGGCCACAUUGGAACUGAGACACGGUCCAAACUCCUACGGGAGGCAGCAGUGGGGAAUAUUGCACAAUGGGCGAAAGCCUGAUGCAGCAACGCCGCGUGAACGAUGAAGGUCUUCGGAUCGUAAAGUUCUGUUGCAGGGGAAGAUAAUGGCGGUACCCUGUGAGGAAGCCCCGGCUAACUACGUGCCAGCAGCCGCGGUAAUACGUAGGGGGCUAGCGUUAUCCGGAUUUACUGGGCGUAAAGGGUGCGUAGGUGGUCCUUCAAGUCGGUGGUUAAAGGCUACGGCUCAACCGUAGUAAGCCGCCGAAACUGGAGGACUUGAGUGCAGGAGAGGAAAGUGGAAUUCCCAGUGUAGCGGUGAAAUGCGUAGAUAUUGGGAGGAACACCAGUAGCGAAUGCGGCUUUCUGGACUGCAACUGACACUGAGGCACGAAAGCGUGGGUAGCAAACAGG